rnacentral:rRNA from 1 species
GACAUAGGUGGCGAACGUUAUCCGGAAUUAUUGGGCGUAAAGGGCUCGUAGGCGGUCCAUCGCGUCGGGAGUGAAAAGCUGGGGCUCAACCCCAGUCCUGCUUUCGAUACGGGUGGACUAGAGGUAUGCAGGGGAGAACGGAAUUCCUGGUGUAGCGGUGAAAUGCGCAGAUAUCAGGAGGAACACCGGUGGCGAAGGCGGUUCUCUGGGCAUUACCUGACGCUGAGGAGCGAAAGUGUGGGGAGCGAACAGG